CGGGUAGGCGCCGGUGGCCGGCAGGCGGCCUGUAAAGUCGCCGGGGCUCUGCCCACGAGGUUCGAUUCCUUCCUGCCCGA
rnacentral:tRNA from 1 species